GCAAACUCAGGCUGCAAGGACAUCCGGGCCCAGAUGAGGAGAGUUUUCUGUGCUUCCCCUACGACAGCAACCUGCUGACUGAGAGAUCCACCUCCAAAACCCCUCGGUGGUGUUCUUCUACAUGGCCCGCCUGCAGGCAAGAAGUGAUGGAAUUUAUGUUGUCAUGGAAGUUAAUGUUUCAACUCAAGAAGAGAAAUAACCUAUCGACAUUAUCUGAUGACAAAUUACAAGAGUGUUUCCCAUCCCCACAGUAUAAAAAGGUUAUUUGCAUAGGUGCAAAAGAAAAUGGUUUGCCACUGGAGUACAAAAAGAAGUUAAAAGCUGUGGGACCAAAUGACCGUACAGGAAAGGUCUCAGAAGAAAUUGAAGACAUCAUCAAAAAGGAAUCACGAACUCAUUA
rnacentral:lncRNA from 1 species